GACGAACGCUGGCGGCGUGCUUAACACAUGCAAGUCGAACGAGACGAUUGAAAGCUUGCUUUCGAAAGUCGAGUGGCAAACGGGUGAGUAACGCGUAGACAACCUGCCUUUGAGAUGGGGACAACAGUUCGAAAGGACUGCUAAUACCGAAUGUUGUAUAUUUUCCACAUGGAAGAUAUAUUAAAGAUGGCCUCUAUUUAUAAGCUAUCGCUCAAAGAUGGGUCUGCGUCUGAUUAGCUGGUUGGUGGGGUAACGGCCUACCAAGGCGACGAUCAGUCGACGGUCGGGGAGGAUGAACGGCCACAUGGGGACUGAGACACGGCCCAGACUCCUACGGGAGGCAGCAGUGGGGAAUCUUUCACAAUGGACGAAAGUCUGAUGGAGCAACGCCGCGUGAGUGAAGAAGGGUUUCGGCUCGUAAAGCUCUGUUGUCGGGGACGAAUGUGCAGUAUUUGAACAAAGUACUGUAAUGACGGUACCUGACGAGGAAGCCACGGCUAACUACGUGCCAGCCGCCGCCGUAA
rnacentral:rRNA from 1 species